UUAGUCGUUCUCACUUCUCAGUCGGUUUGUUGACUGUUGAAUCAGAAAUGUGGACGUUUCUUUCUCCACUGUUUCGCAUUUCUUAUCGUUGACUGAUGCGAGGAUUCUAAAAAAAUCCCUAACAAGUCUUUUUCUUGGCACUUGGUGAGUCUCUGGAGGGAGAUCGUAAUCCUAAUUCUUAAGCCCACACAUAUCUUCAACGGCUUAGCUCGGAUCAGAAGAACAUCGCUUCAAUUCUAUUAGUUGCAGUUUGGCACUCCUCAUAGGGCAUUAGCAGAUAUUAAGUUCCAACAUGAGCAAAGCAGGUGAUUUACCCAAAAUGAAGUUAGAGGCUGGUGAGUUUCCCAAAAUGGAAGUGAAGCCAUUUAAUAUCGUUAAAACGGAGAUGAAUGAAUUUUCGAAAAAAGAGCCAUCUGGAUUUCCCAAAAUGGAGUUGGAAGCAGGUGAUUUUUCCAAAACAGAGGUGAAGCCAUUCAGUAUCCUUAAAACAGAGCCAGGAGAGUUUCCUAGAAAGGAGCUGUUAGAUUUCUCCUUAGUGGAGAAAUUUUUUUCUGACGAAACAGAAUCUGAAGGGUCCUUAGUGGAGAAUUUUUUUUCUGACGAAGCAGAAUCUGAAGGGGCCUCGGCUUCUCAGACUAGUACUUUGACAAGCUUGAAAUCAUCAAUUUUCUCACCUGAAUCAGAAAAUAGUUUGAGGAGGAAGAGGGAUUUGCUGAGCCUCUUGUCUAGUUACUCUGUGAAUGCGAGAAUGAUAUUUCAAGAUUUCACAUCAAAGUCAUAUGAUGAGAGGCAGCUGCCGCUUAAUCUACGAGGACUUCUUCCAAAGGAGAUAAUAAGGGAUGCUGAAAAUGGUGAUAGGUCCUGGUCCCGGUCCAGCUCCGGCUUCGGUGAGGCCGACUUGGACUUCAUUCCAGAAGCUAUUCUCAAUUUGGCUCCUGAUCUUGCUGUCCACCAACUCAUCCAAACGUUGAUUUCCUUUUCUAAAAAUCAAAAUCUAAACUAUAUAAAAUACAUCAGAUUGUCAACCAGAAGCGAUGUUGAAAAAAGAGCAGUCAUGGCAAAAGUAGCAGCAGCCUUGAAUGACAAGCAUAAUGUGCUUGACAUUCUGAGUUCAUUUCGUGGAACUCUUAGUAUUGAAGCCUCAAGUUAUCCAACUACAGGAGGAGAGAAGGAACUUCGAAAACAUGUUUGUCAGCUACUUCAGCUUUCAAUGAUUGAAGACGAAGUUUUGUGCACCAGACACAUUGAGGAAGAGAUGUCAAGCAGCAGGUACCUAGUAAUUCUUGCAGACAGGGAUGGUGAGGAAAUUGUCGAUCUACAAAGAGUGGGAUUUUGUAAGAGUCUACUGUCAGGAGUUUUGGUACUCAUUACCACUGAUUCACCAGCACCUCAACAUGCUAAAGAAGAAGGAUUGAUGGAAGCGAUAGUGGACUUGGAAAUUCGGACUAAAGAACAUUUGCUGCCAUGGGUGGUCUUCUGUCACAAUGUGGGGAAGGAUUUUGUAUAUUCAUCAAGUGCCAUCCUGACAACUGCAGUGCGCAUAGUUGAGGAGUGUCGAAGCCACCUUCACGCAAUUCUCCUUGUGGCAAAGUGGUUGAAGAAUCAUCAAGAUGUCAGAAAGUGGGAACUUGCUCUCCUCAAAUUGCAAUCUGCUAAUCCUUCACAAGAUAUCCACAAUUUUCAUGGUUUAAACGAGAUCAUGGUUAACACAUUCCUAAACUUAAUAUGGGAUGGCAUGAAUAAGACACAACAGAAUUGCCUACUGAGCUGUAUAGUCAUCCCUAAAAUUAGAGAUGGCAUGGUUGAUCAUGAAUUGAUGAAUCACUGGAUGUCUUCUCUCUUUGUGGAUUCUGGAGAAACAGAAAAGAACCUAAGACAACUUGUAGAAAAUUCUGUCUUUCUUCAAUUUGAUGGUGUUGGAGGCAGGUAUACUUGGUUACCAGAAGAAACCUAUCAAAUGUUAGAACGGCUAUACAGCUCAUACCCAUUGUUCAUAGAGAAAUCAAACCUAGGGUUGACUGAACCACCCAACCCUGACAAAUGGAAUAAUGCCUUACGAAUUGAAUUAGCAGGCAAUAAAAUCUCUGAGUUACCAAAGUCCCCAGCUUGUCUGGAACUCAAAGUUUUGAUGCUGCAAAGCAAUGCUGAUUUGACAAAAAUACCAUCUUCAUUUUUUGGUCAGAUGCCACUGCUUUGCAUCCUGAACUUAUCCUACACUAGUGUAAGAGAACUGCCAUCUUCAUUGUUUUUUCUGGAGCAGCUUAGAGAACUGUAUCUGAAAGGUUGUGAAUGCUUCAUGAAGUUACCACCUGAAAUUGGAAAUUUGGAGAAGCUUGAGAAGCUUGAUCUUGAUGAGACUCAGAUCACACAUCUGCCAAAAGAGGUCCAGAAGUUAACCAAUAUGCAAAGUUUGACCCUCUGCUUUUAUGAAUAUCGUGUCAAGAAGGACAUGCCAUAUUCUUGCUCAACAAUUAUUCCUUCUGGCGUGCUAUCUAAACUCAAGAGGUUGGAACAUUUGUGUAUUGGUGUAAACCCUGAUGAUGAGCGGUGGGAUGAGAAUCUGCAAGUUAUUCUACCAGAAAUAUUGGGAUUAGAGUGUUUGCAAACUCUCAGUAUGUAUAUCCCACAACCGGAACUUUUGAAGCUCAUACCGGCCCACAUUUUUGAGCUUGAUUUCAGGUUCAUUGUUGGUCGUCAUAUGCAGCGGAUUAUAUCAAGCAUACCACCUGCCACUGAUGUGAAAUUUAAACAAAGUGACUGCAGCUUAAAAUUUGUAAAAGGUGAGGGUGUCCCAGAUGAAAUCAAAACGGUUCUUAGACACAGCAAGGCUCUUUUCUUGGAUAGGCAUUUCACCUUGAAGAGUCUUUCUGAAUUUGAAAUGAAAAAUUUAGAGCAACUAAGGGUGUGCAUAUUGGCAGAAUGCAAAGAAAUGCAGACAUGUGGAGGUGGAGCAAAAGAUGAAGAUGACAUGCUUCCGCAUUUGCUAUUCUUGAGUAUAUUCCACAUGAAGAACCUGAGAAGCAUAUGGGAAGGCCCAACUUCCCCUCACUCCCCAUUUGGUAUGUUACAGUCUUUGUCAUUGCAAAGUUGUCCCAAGUUGGUGACUCUCUUCUCUUUGGACUUUCUGGGGAAUCUUUCUUUGUUGAAGAAACUUAUAGUGAAGGACUGCCCCAAAUUAAGUACAUUGAUAAGUCAUGAAUCAUCCAAGCGCAAUGCACAUACUUUCCUCCCUAAAUUGAGCACGUUAUUGCUUCUCCAUCUUCCUGAAUUGUCCAGCAUUUCAAACGGGUUGCAAAUUGGGCCUGGUUUAAAAGAAAUAGCAUUUUAUGACUGUCCAAAGCUGCACAGUCUUUCAAGGAAGGAAUUGGUUAGCAAAGAACUAACGGUAAUAAAAGGAGAAACCAACUGGUGGAAGUCACUAGAAGGUCGAACGCCUAAUUUUAAUCGGAUUUUUUCCCCAAUUAAUGAAGAGGCUGACUUGAUGACUCAGUUAGGUAUAUGUGACGAUGACGGUAUUGAUAAUGGUCCAGGUGACUCAGUAGGUAAGCCGUCACAGCCUACAGGGAUUGCAACUUGUGUAUCAAAUUCACCGACUAGGAGAGGCAAAUAUAGAAGGCGUAGAAUCUCAAAAACUUGGGAGGUAGAGACAAGUUAUCUCACUGAUGAUGGACACACGUGGAGAAAAUAUGGUCAGAAAGCGUUGCUCAACAAUAAGUACCCGAGAAAUUAUUACAGAUGCACUCAUAAGUAUGAUCAAGGAUGCAUGGCCACAAAGCAUGUUCAACAGAUUGGCGAGGACCCUCCUUUAUAUAAAACAGCUUACUUUGGGCAUCAUACAUGCCGCCGUAGACCGUAGUCAACAUACAACUCUGUCUAUGAAAUAUGAAUAGAUGAUCUUCUACCGACUUAUCUCACACAUGAAGUACAAAUACAUCCAGUGUCAACCACUAUCCUUGGUGUAAACAAUGAAGUCAGGAAUUGUGAUAGCAUUUAAUUUUCAGAAUGAUAUAUGAUUAUUGAUUGUUAAUAAGUCAAUUCAUACUAUUAACUCCGAUCUUGGGAUUUAUUUCAAAGACUAUGGUUACAUGUUUGGUUUUAUAUUGCUAACAUUAAAUAUGAUCAUAAAAAUGUGGGAAAAUUUCAACUUCCUACCUUGAAGUAGGUUUCUUUUUUUGGUAUGAAAACGGGUCUAGGCUCAAGAAAAAAGGAUUACAGAGUCAUUGAAUACAUCAGCUGUAAAUAAAGAGACUAAUUCAAAAGGUGGAACAUCUAUGAAUUUGCAUCCUAGUUUAAUGUUAAGACUUUGUUAAUGUUGAAAGCUUAACUCCCAGGGUCUGUAGAUGAAGGCUUGGAUUUCUUUGACGAUGGAGUCGUGACAGGUUGAAUUGGGCUUUAUGCUUCUAAGUUCCUCAAACACCUCUGCUGAAUCCACUUCUACUAUCAUACGUCUCAUACCCAUAUCAGCUGCCAUUCGGAUCCCAUUAAGUACACCAAGGAGCUCAGCUUCUUGUGGUUGGCAGCACCUUAUUUUAGCCAUGCUGGUUCUGAAAAUUCAACCACAACCUGCCCUGCUAUCCUCUCCCUGAACUCAUCCAUCUGUAUUCAGUUUAAUCCAUCCCUCCAGAGGGGGUGCCCAUCUGGUUCUCCUCCUAUCAGCACAGCCGUAAGAAAGAGCUUCUGCUUCGCAGGCGCCUUCUUAUACUCUUAUCAUCUCCUACCUUGAAGACUACCAUUGCGUUGCAUACCAACUUACCCAUCAAAUUAUCUUUCAUAAUGUUCCUAAACUUUGGAUUGGGGAAGAUGUUACGGACCUAAGGUACGAUUCAUUGUGGGGCCUCUGAAUUGGAUUCAAAGUGAGCUUUCCACAUUUGGAAUGAUUGAGGAUGAUGAAAAUGAUGAAUGAACUAUAUACCAAUAUUAAUGUGUGCAGGGGUAAUGAAUUUGUUACUUUUUAACAACUUAACAUAGCAUUUCGUUGAGAUGAAUGAAACUGGAAUCAAGGACAAAAUUUAUUCAUCCAAAUCUAAGUGUACAAGUGAACAAUAAAAAUUGACUCAUCAGCAUGCUUUAUAGAACAGAAUUGAAAUAUUGAAAAAGAUUUGGUGGUGGUGGACAACAUUACAUAAUCUUAGAGAUUAAGCUGCAUCAUUCAUGUUGAUGAACUUAGCUACUAGCUAGAAUCAGAUUUAUGCAUGAAAAUAAUGGAUUUUCCAUGAGUCACGAACACAAAAUCUGUUUGCAAUCUUACUCGUCUCUAACUCAUGAAUUCUCAGCCUAUCAAUUUUGGUACAUGAAUUCUGAUCCAAUUUCUAUAGCAGCAACAUAAGAACAGAAGAUAACU